rnacentral:rRNA from 1 species
GCUUACGGCCAUACCAGCCUGAAUACGCCCGAUCUCGUCCGAUCUCGGAAGGCUAAGCAGGGUCGGGCCUGGUUAGUACUUGGAUGGGAGGACCGCCUGGGAAUACCAGGUGCUGUAAGCU